rnacentral:rRNA from 1 species
UACGAAGGGACCUAGCGUAGUUCGGAAUUACUGGGCUUAAAGAGUUCGUAGGUGGUUGAAAAAGUUGGUGGUGAAAUCCCAGAGCUUAACUCUGGAACUGCCAUCAAAACUUUUCAGCUAGAGUAUGAUAGAGGAAAGCAGAAUUUCUAGUGUAGAGGUGAAAUUCGUAGAUAUUAGAAAGAAUACCAAUUGCGAAGGCAGCUUUCUGGAUCAUAACUGACACUGAGGAACGAAAGCAUGGGUAGCGAAGAGG